CCGAAGUCGGUGAGGUAACCUAAACCACCCCAAAAAGUAUUACUUUUCGGGGACCCCGGUUGGGAGCCAGCCGCCGAAGGUGGGGUAGAUGACUGGGGUGAAGUCGUAACAAGGUAUCCGUACCGGAAGGUGCGGAUGGAUCACCUCCUUUCUAUGGAGA
rnacentral:rRNA from 1 species